AACGAACGCUGGCGGCGUGGAUAAGACAUGCAAGUCGAACGAUUACUAGUGGGUAGCAAUAUUCGCUAGUGAGAGUGGCGCAAGGGUGCGUAACACGUGGGUAAUUUGCCGUGAAGUCUGGGAUAACUUGCUGAAAGGCGAGCUAAUACCGGAUGUGAUUACUGGAAGGCAUCUUCUGGUACUUAAAGUCGGGGACCGUAAGGCCUGACGCUUCUCGAUAAGCCCGCGGCCUAUCAGCUAGUUGGUGAGGUAACGGCUCACCGAGGCUAAGACGGGUAGCUGGUCUGAGAGGACGACCAGCCACACUGGAACUGAGACACGGUCCAGACACCUACGGGUGCAGCAGUCGAGAAUUUUUUCNCAAUGGGCGAAAGCCUGAAGGAGCGACGCCGCGUGGGGGAUGAAUGGCUUCGGCCCGUAAACCCCUGUCAUUUGCGAUCAAACCUUACGACCUAACACGUCGUGAGCUGAUAGUAGCGGAAGAGGAAGGGACGGCUAACU
rnacentral:rRNA from 1 species